rnacentral:rRNA from 1 species
CUGGGAACUGCGUUUGUGACUGCAAGGCUAGAGUACGGCAGAGGGGGGUGGAAUUCCACGUGUAGCAGUGAAAUGCGUAGAGAUGUGGAGGAACACCAAUGGCGAAGGCAGCCCCCUGGGUCGAUACUGACGCUCAUGCACGAAAGCGUGGGUAGCAAACAGGAUUAGAUACCCUGGUAGUCCACGCCCUAAACGAUGUCAACUAGGUGUUGGGUGGGUAAAACCAUUUAGUACCGGAGCUAACGCGUGAAGUUGACCGCCUGGGGAGUACGGCCGCAAGGUUAAAACUCAAAGGAAUUGACGGGGACCCGCACAAGCGGUGGAUGAUGUGGAUUAAUUCGAUGCAACGCGAAAAACCUUACCUACCCUUGACAUGUCCAGAAGCCUGAAGAGAUUUGGGUGUGCCCGAAAGGGAACUGGAACACAGGUGCUGCAUGGCUGUCGUCAGCUCGUGUCGUGAGAUGUUGGGUUAAGUCCCGCAACGAGCGCAAC